rnacentral:rRNA from 1 species
AUAUAAGUACGCGGAGGACAUGAAACUAAACAGGAUCCCCAUAGUAAUGGCGAAUGAACAGGGAUGAGCUCAGCAUGGAAAUUGGGCAUUGUGGCUUUGACUUGUAAUCUUCUGAGGCAUUGCCAACAGAGGCGCAGAUGUAAGUCUUUUGGAAAAGAGCAUCAAUGAAGGUGAGAAUCCUGCUUGUCAUUUGCAGACCCCUGUGCACGGUGUGCCUUCUAUGAGUCACGUUCCUUGGGAUUGGAGCGCAAAGUGGGUGGUAACUUUCAUCUGCAGCUAAACAUUGGUUCGGGUCCGAUAGGAAACAAGUACCAUGAGGGAAAGUUGAAAAGGACUUUGGAAAGAGAGUUAAAAGUGCCUGAAAUUGCUGAAAGAGAAGCGAAUGGAACCAGUGGUAUUGGUUGAGAUUGUCACACACUACAAAGAUUGGUUGUUGUGUCAGCGUAAGCGGUCUAGCAAUUAUUGAGAUUCCAGUGUGUGGUGUGUCUUGCCCUCUGUGUCAUUGUGGGUUUACGCAUUAAGACAAUUCAAAAUGAAUGCCAAUAUGCUUCUGAAUCUAUGAAUGCUUUUGUUAUUUUUAUGCAUAAACUUAUAGUUUGUGCGGCUGCAGAUUGUGUUGCAUCUAGCUCCUAGCUGGUGUGGAAUGCACACUUCCUUCCGCACAGAUCUUGAUUAAAUGGUUUCAUUUGACCCGUCUUGAAACACGGACCAAGGAGUCUAGCAUGUGUGCAAGCACAUGGGCUGCGAACCUGUAUGUGCAAUGAAAGUGACUGCUGGGAUACUUGUGCCAGCAACCGACCAUCAGUUGAGAGAGGUUUGAGUAUUAGCAUAUCCGUUAGGACCCGAAAGAUGGUGAACUAUGCUUGAGAAGGGCAAACUCAGGGGAAACUCUGAUGGAGGCUCGUAGCGGUACUGACGUGCAAAUCGUUCGUCACACUUGGGUAUAGGGGCGAAAGACUAAUCGAACCAUCUAGUAGCUGGUUCCCUCUGAAGUUUCCCUCAGGAUAGCUGGAAUUGAACAGUCUUAUCAAGUAAAGCGAAUGAUUAAAGGAAUUGGGGGCGCGCCGUUCUCGACCUAUUCUCAAACUUUUAAUGGGUAAGAUCCAGUAGUUACUUGGCUGAACUUCUGGUGCACAUGUUGAUUCCAAGUAGGAAUC